GGGGCUGUGGCGCAAUUGGUAGCGCGUGGUACGUUCCAACACUCUUAAUUACGAGUUUCCAAAACAUUCAACUAACAAAUUCCCUAUAGCGACUCCAGAUCGCAAGGUUGCCCGAUCGAGACGGACCAGCCUCA